rnacentral:rRNA from 1 species
GAUGAACGCUGGCGGUAUGCCUAACACAUGCAAGUCGUACGAGAGUUUUUAAUUCUAGUGGCGGACGGGUGAGUAACACGUGAGAAUUUACCUUUAGGAGGGGGAUAACAAUUGGAAACGAAUGCUAAUACCCCAUAUGCUUUUGAGUGAAAUGGAUUUAUAAUUAUCCGCCUAAAGAAAAGCUCGCGGCUGAUUAGCUUGUUGGUAAGGUAAGAGCUUACCAAGGCGACGAUCAGUAUCUGGUUUGAGAGGACGAUCAGACACACUGGAACUGAGACACGGUCCAGACUCCUACGGGAGGCAGCAGUGGGGAAUUUUCCGCAAUGGGCGAAAGCCUGACGGAGCAAUACCGCGUGAGGGAAGACUGCCUAUGGGUUGUAAACCUCUUUUUUCAGGGUAGGAAUAAAAUGACGUGUACCUGAAGAAUAAGCAUCGGCUAACUCCGUG